UUAUUAGAUUAUAAUAAGACUACUUUUAAGACGACUGAUGUUUAUAAAAAGGGGGCAGGAAAGUCAGGCCGAAGCACAGACUUCCUUACAGUUCACAGGUGUUAUGGAUGUGAGUUGCGAGGGCCGUGCCGAAGCGACGACCCAAGCAGGUUAUUCACUAAUGAUCCUUCCGCAGGUUCACCUACGGAAA
rnacentral:misc_RNA from 1 species